AAAUGCGAUAAGUAAUGUGAAUUGCAGAAUUCAGUGAAUCAUCGAAUCUUUGAACGCACAUUGCGCCCGCCAGUAUUCUGGCGGGCAUGCCUGUCCGAGCGUCAUUACAACCCUCAGGCCCCCCGGGCCUGGUGUUGGGGAUCGGCGGAGCCCUCUGGGCACACGCCGUCCCCCAAAUUCAGUGGCGGUCUCGCUGCAGCCUCCAUUGCGUAGUAGCUAACACCUCGCAACUGGAAGGCGGCGCGGCCAUGCCGUAAAACCCCCAACUUCUGAAUGUUGACCUCGGAUCAGGUAGGAAUACCCGCUGAACUUAAGC
rnacentral:misc_RNA from 1 species